rnacentral:rRNA from 1 species
AGGGGGCGGCGGCGCGCUGGAGGGGCCUUGGGCGUGGUGGCCCGGAGGAUGACAGCCUAGGGUGGGGCGGCCUGGGGACGCGCGCCGAGACGCGAUGUUGGCGACGGCGGCUCCUAGGGGGGCGCCAGGAACCGGCGGACGGGUGCAUCAAGCGGCUAACGGCGUCUCAGCUAUGUGACGAGGCGGGUAGCAGGGCGGGCUGGUGAACUCGGUAACCGCACGGCAGUCGACCAGCGGGUCGCGGCGGGAUGUGUGGGUUCGUGAUAGCACCCGCUGGUCCCACUGGCUGGUCGCGGUGACCCCCGACGUCGAUGGAGGACGGCGUCGGAGUGCGCCGGCGAUUUCGUGGAACGAGUGGCUAAUAAAACAGAGCCAACGACGAAAGGUUCUAAGGACAGCGAGCGAGCGUCCGGCCGUAGGAACGCGCUGUGGCGGCAGAUUCUGGCUAGGACCGUCGUCAUUCAGUGGUCUUUUUCCGAGGCUGGGCAUGGACGGUCUAGAGCGGUGGUACUGGUGAGUGGAGCACUACAGCCGCUGGACGGUUUCGGAUUCGCCGCUGGACAGGCUCCGGAUUCGUGUUUGAAGCACGAACUUAGAAGAGGUUUAACUACAACGAACGUUGCCGUCCCCGUUUCGUACAUCAGGUGGUGAUACUGCCCUCCUUGACGAAGAUGAAAAGAAGACUUUAAAGCUACGGUACAGAACUAAAAAUCUCCAUCAAAAACCAAACAUGGCUGGUAAAUUCUACCAUAGAGUAAACUUACAACAUACGUACGUCCGGUUGCGAGAAACACCGUGGCGCCUCGACAAACGGACCGCCCAGCUCGUCCAGCAGUUCCCUGGCGAGCUCCAGCGGCCGGCGUUCCUACCUGCUUCUGUCUCUGCAUCCAUCGUCCCUGUCCUUCGCGCUGACUUUUACUCUCUCACUGCUACUUUAUGUCACAUGCGAUGUGGUACAAAGGAUAAAGAUGAUCUCCGAUCUCUAUUCGUGUAAACAGAUAAUAGUCUC